rnacentral:antisense_RNA from 1 species
AGCACAUAAGGUGUGACCUUUUCAUUCCCGUUGUCAUGGAGGGCCACAUCUGCCAGAGCCUGGAGUCUGCGAAGGCCGGGACCCGGUUCCCCGGCCCGCCGUGGGGAGUGUUGCAAAUUCGUGAAGAAUCAGCAGCAUGUUUGGCAGCUGAGUAUUGGAGCCAGGAGCCUGCCAUGAGGUUUUGAGAACAGGGUGCUGUUUUAGAGCUGGCAGCAGCAUCUCAGCCCAAGAGAAGGUUAUAUUCCCAGAGGAUGUCAGUCCCAAGGACCAGUAGCUGCCAUCAGUUUGGAUUCUGAAAACUAACCGGCAUCAACAUUGGGUGUAGAAACAUGCUUGCCUUGUGUAUCAGAGGACAUGCUCAGCAGAUCCAAGAGAUAUAUUUGGCAACUUUUUCUAGAAAAGGCACAUUAGGUAUCAUUCAUUACAUUCUUGAGUUUUUUUGGGGUUUUUUUUUUUUUUGAGACAGUCUUGCUGUGUUGCCCAGGCUGGAGUGUGGUGGCACAAUCACAGCUCAUUGCAGCCUCAAUCACCCAGGCCUAAGCAAUCCUCCCACCUUGUAGCUGGGACUACAGCUCACAGCACACCUGGCUAAAAUUUUUUUUUGUUGAGACGGAUUCUCUAUGUUGCUCAGGCUGGUCUCAAGCUCCUGGGCUUAGAUGGUCCUCCUGCCUCAGCUUCCAAAGGCACAGGCCAAGUUGUAGCUUUGUCCCUUGCCAUCAUGCCCAACAAGAGGUUCUAUACCUUUUAAUGAACUGACUUUCAUAAAUUGGUUAUGUUGGUGGGCAAGUUCUUUAAGCUGGAAAUUGUAAAUUCCUCCUGAAAUGUUUUUUCAUGCAGUUACCAUGAACUAAUACUACAAUAAAGGAUGGUCUUGGG